UACGGGGGGGGCAAGCGUUGUUCGGAAUUACUGGGCGUAAAGGGCGCGUAGGCGGCCUGCUAAGUCGGAUGUGAAAUCCCCAGGCUCAACCUGGGAACUGCAUCCGAUACUGGAUGGCUUGAAUUCGGGAGAGGGAUGCAGAAUUCCAGGUGUAGCGGUGAAAUGCGUAGAUAUCUGGAGGAAUACCGGUGGCGAAGGCGGCAUCCUGGACCGACAUUGACGCUGAGGAGCGAAAGCCAGGGGAGCAAACGGG
rnacentral:rRNA from 1 species